GGUCCCGUAGCUCAAUUGGAUAGAGCACCGCGUUGCGGACGCGAAGGUUCGAGGUUCGAGUCCUCGCGGGACCA
rnacentral:tRNA from 1 species